CCGAGUGCUCCUCAGCAGUGGCCUCAUCUGUAAGAUCUCUGGCUUUGGGCGGGGUCCCCGGGACCGAGCGGAAGCUGUCUACACCACCAUGGUAAGGAGUUCCCUUCUCUGGCCCCACAUGCUGCUUCUCCUGUCGGCCAUACCCACCGGCCCCAUGGUCUAUAUCUUGGCCCUGCCUCCUUCCCUGCCUGGUCUCUUCCCUUUGGUGGUGCCAUGCCUGAGUCAGCCGGGCAGCUUCCUCAGAUGUGGAGGGGUGAGGAGAAGAUAUGUGGGUCUGGCUGUGGGUGCUGCGGCUUGCCUGGAUGUAGCCCGUUGCUGACUCAAUGCUUGCCUGCUCUGCCCUGCUUACCCACCCAGAGUGGCAGGAGCCCAGCGCUCUGGGCAGCUCCUGAGACUCUACA
rnacentral:lncRNA from 1 species